rnacentral:rRNA from 1 species
UGUGAGCUCGAUGAGUAGGGCGGGACACGUGGUAUCCUGUCUGAAUAUGGGGGGACCAUCCUCCAAGGCUAAAUACUCCUGACUGACCGAUAGUGAACCAGUACCGUGAGGGAAAGGCGAAAAGAACCCCGGCGAGGGGAGUGAAAAAGAACCUGAAACCGUGUACGUACAAGCAGUGGGAGCACGCUUAGGCGUGUGACUGCGUACCUUUUGUAUAAUGGGUCAGCGACUUAUAUUCUGUAGCAAGGUUAACCGAAUAGGGGAGCCGAAGGGAAACCGAGUCUUAACUGGGCGUUAAGUUGCAGGGUAUAGACCCGAAACCCGGUGAUCUAGCCAUGGGCAGGUUGAAGGUUGGGUAACACUAACUGGAGGACCGAACCGACUAAUGUUGAAAAAUUAGCGGAUGACUUGUGGCUGGGGGUGAAAGGCCAAUCAAACCGGGAGAUAGCUGGUUCUCCCCGAAAGCUAUUUAGGUAGCGCCUCGUGAAUUCAUCUCCGGGGGUAGAGCACUGUUUCGGCAAGGGGGUCAUCCCGACUUACCAACCCGAUGCAAACUGCGAAUACCGGAGAAUGUUAUCACGGGAGACACACGGCGGGUGCUAACGUCCGUCGUGAAGAGGGAAACAACCCAGACCGCCAGCUAAGGUCCCAAAGUCAUGGUUAAGUGGGAAACGAUGUGGGAAGGCCCAGACAGCCAGGAUGUUGGCUUAGAAGCAGCCAUCAUUUAAAGAAAGCGUAAUAGCUCACUGGUCGAGUCGGCCUGCGCGGAAGAUGUAACGGGGCUAAACCAUGCACCGAAGCUGCGGCAGCGACGCUUAUGCG